UUUACGGAGAGUUUGAUCCUGGCUCAGGAUGAACGCUGGCGGCAUGCCUAACACAUGCAAGUCGUACGCGACAGAUUCACUUUUGACUCAUCGCCCUUUGGCUAGGACGAUUAGAUUUUCCUUUAGGAAAAUCUAAUCUUACGGGCUUCGAAGGGAUGAGGGAUGAGAUAAAAGUGAAUCUGUUGAGUGGCGGACGGCUGAGUAACGCGUGGGAACGCACCCCGAACUGAGGGAUAACUACUCGAAAGAGUAGCUAAUACCGCAUAUUUUCUUUGGAACAAAGUCUUCGGACGGUUUGGGAGCGGCCUGCGUACGAUUAGAUAGUUGGUGAGGUAACGGCUCACCAAGUCCACGAUCGUUAGCUGGUCUGAGAGGAUGAUCAGCCAGACUGGAACUGAGAACGGUCCAGACUCCUACGGGAGGCAGCAGUGAGGAAUCUUCCACAAUGGGCGAAAGCCUGAUGGAGCAAUGCCGCGUGCAGGAUGAAGGCCUUCGGGUUGUAA
rnacentral:rRNA from 1 species